UUAUCAGAUAUUUGUCAGUGAGUCACAUUGAUGUUCUUUCAUGGAAGUGGGCAAGAAAAAGAUUCCUAGAGGGCUUUCUUGUGGAGCAUUAAAGUUGUGGUCAAAAACUGAAACGUAUACAAUGCCUGAGAAGUUCUGCAGUACAUUUUGACCACACAACAUGGGUUCUGUUGCUCACUUAUAAAAGUAAUGCAUUGACUAAUAUCUCUCUAUUUUUCCCAGCCUCCACCCUCAACAUAGAACCAACAGAUUCUGUAUUUAAAAUGUUCCUGAUGAGAAAUCUUGUCCUACUCAUUUUGUCACUAGCCUAUUUAAUAUGGUGUGGCCCCUGGGACAUAUACAUACUAGCAGGUUCCAUAACCAUGCCUGGGAAGAAGUUAAACUCAAUAAAUAGACCAUUCUGCAGGUAUACUGGAAGUUAAAUUCAAACAGUAAUGCCUUAUUGGAUGCAAAUUAAAUUUUAAAAACGUUUUCUAAAGCCCUUUUUAUACAGUUUCUAUUGGAUCUCUUGUAAUGUGAUUCUUAUUAAAACCAGAUAAGAUAUAUGUUAGAGGAUUCUUCUAUGAAUAAAACUCAUAUCACCUUC